CAAGUGGCAGCGGCUGCCGCAACGGUAGCAAAGAACCGUUAGACUUUAAAGCGCCGCCCAAUUGUGCGGUUCGAAUGUAUUUUUUGUUGCGAUUUUCGGCUUUUGUGUUUACAUGCAAACUGUUAUUAUUCUGUGACAUUGUUGCUUCUGGCUCCCGGUGUCGAACAACUUCGCCAAAUGUGUCUAAUGUAAAGCAUGAAUGUAAAAGUGCGCGUUCGUAUUUGUGUGCGUGCGUGCGCGGCUCCGUGCAACAAACAACCACAAAUAAUGUGCAUAAAAACAAGCAACAGCCAUUAAAUAUUAGCCAAAUCAAAUAGCCAACGUUUAAAAUAUAAACAGAAAUCAAUGCGAUAAGCGGCUAAACGGCAACAACAAUAACAACAACAACAAAAAAACGUUAAUCAUAACAGCGGUAGCAGCAGCGACGCUGAUAAACAACGGCCAAGGUAAGUUGAGUGUAAAGCUUUGAGUUCUGCUCAAGCGCAAAACACAAAAAAAAAAAAA